rnacentral:rRNA from 1 species
AUGCAGCCCUGCACGUCAUGGUUUCCGGCCGCGAAAUCAUCCACAUGGGAGAUUGAUGGGAUGCGACUGUUGGUCCAGUUGGAGUUUUCAUUUGAUGUGGCAUGUUUAAGUUUCAGAAAUGGGGGCUGCCACGCACUCAUGCUCAUAUUUCACCGGCCCUAUUUUUCCUUGCCACCAUUGGAUCUGAAAUAUUGGCAAUUUGCAUUGCCAUUUAGCUGUUGUGACUAUGCAGUAGCGCAAAGUAUUGAUGCCAUUAUCAGUACGGAUGCCUUUAGUGGCGUAUAUCAGCUGGUCUUUGCUUCUUUUGAAAUAUGGCAACCUUCUACUCAUUCAUCACCAUGGUUCUUGAUGCCAUCGCCUAAACUUACAUUUGUGAUGACCAGAUCAAACGGUUUACGGAGCGACGAAACACACCCCCGCCCCCGCGUCGUCUCGGCUGAGGCGGCACGGGCGGAGACUCGGCCGCGCCGCCGGGCUGCCCUCCCGCCCCCCUCCUUCUUCCCCUCGCCGUCGCUGGAGGAGGCCACCGGGCUAAGCCCAGGCGGCGGCGGCGGGGGCGUUUUCCUCUCACCAGACCGCGAGAUCUUGGGAUGGAAAGGCUCGUUCCCCUUUUUUCGCGUCGCGCGAGGGAUCCGUCGGGGGCUUCUGCUGCGGCACCGGCGGGCCCCUGUGCCUCCUGGCAGCGGCCUUUCGCGGGUGGCAGCCGCGAUAGCUCCGUCGGCGGGCGCCUGGCCUUCGGCCCGGCUGCUCCUUUCCGACGCAUCAGGGCGGGCGCGGCCCCCCGCCUGCCUUGUGGGGCGCGGUCCUUGGUCGGGCUGGUGGAGGGCGGGCCUCUGGUGGCUCCUGUUGCGCAACGGUGGUGGGAUGCCAGAUCGGCCGAAUCUGGCCUAUCGGCGUCUUCUCGUCCGGCGGGGAGGUGAGGUGUGGUGGCUCUCCGGUGCUGCUGGCGCGGUGGCUUCGCGAGAGGUGGGUGGGUCAGCGAAGGUGCAGUGCGUGAGGGUGCUGGUGGUGUUGGGAUACUCCGGGCGAAAGCUUGGCUGUCCGGCAUCCUCUUACGCCCUCGGAUCUUGCUCUUCGGGUGAAAGCCUAAGGCCUGGUUGGGUCGGGCGACGGCGUCGACAUCGUCGCUUUCCUCUUUGGGGCGUCGUCUUGAAGAGCUUUGGAUCCCGGUCGCAUGCUUCAUGGGCUGGACGCUCGCGGCAUUAUGGUCGGCAGGUGCCCGUCUGGCAGUGCGGAUGUUGCGCGGCUUCCUGUUUGUGGCAACGAUGGCGGCUUCGGGCGGAGUCAGGUUUGCUGAUGGUUCUUGGUAGUCGGUCUCUUCCGGCGUGUUCGAGGAGUCGCCGCUCUGGCGCUGGCUCGGCGCAAGCCCAACACUUUUCUCCUGCAAUGCUCGUCGACAGAGUCGGAGCUGCCUGGUCGCCGGCGCGUGUGGUUGACUAUUUGACAUCGGCCGGCGCAAGCCUCGACGCUUCCCCUCGGCGGCGUGUAACAUCAAAGGAGUUACCUGAACUUGAAACGGUGCUGAUAUCUAUCAGAAAUCUACUCAAUACAGAGUCAACAUUAAUCCACGGUCUAUUCAAAGGGGUUUGGAUUGAUUUCUUGAUUAUAGGAACUGAAGCUUCUGAAUAUGAGAACAUGUCCAAUGUUCAAGACGAUGAGAUUUCACAAAUACAGAAAUGCCAUACACAAUUCCUUAACACACUUGAUGUUUUGCUAGCCGAGAUAAGAGAAGACAAAACACUUGAUACACUGGAUGAAGCCGAAUUGUGCUGA